rnacentral:rRNA from 1 species
AAUGAACGCUGGCGGUAUGCCUAACACAUGCAAGUCGAACGGCAGCACAGUAAGAGCUUGCUCUUACGGGUGUCGAGUGGCGGACGGUUGAGUAAUAUAUCGGAAUCUACUUUUUCGUGGGUGAUAACGUAGGGAAACUUACUCUAAUACCGCAUACGACCUACUUGGAAAAGCACGCGAUCUUUUGACCUUUUGCGAUUGAAUGAGCCUAGGUCGGAUUAGCUAGUUGGCGUGUUUAAGGCCCACCAAGGCCACGAUCCGUAGCUGGUAUGAGAGGAUGAUUAGCCAGACUGGAACUGAGGAACGGUACAGACUCCUACGGGAGGCAGCAGUGGGGAAUAUUGGACAAUGGACGAAAGCCUGAUCCAGCACUACCGCGUGGGUGCAGAAGGAGUUCGGGUUGUAAAGCCAUUUUGUUCGGAAAGAAAAGCAGCAGGUUAAUCCGCCGCUGUUAUGACGGUACCCAAAGAAUAAGCACCGGCUAACUUCGUG